rnacentral:rRNA from 1 species
CAACCAAAGCUGGCGACCGGCGCACGGUGAGUAACACGUAUCCAACCUGCCUCAUACUCGGGGAUAGCCUUUCGAAAGAAAGAUUAAUAUCCGAUAGCAUAUAUUUCCCGCAUGGGUUUUAUAUUAAAGAAAUUCGGUAUGAGAUGGGGAUGCGUUCCAUUAGUUUGUUGGGGGGUAACGGCCCACCAAGACUACGAUGGAUAGGGGUUCUGAGAGGAAGGUCCCCCACAUUGGAACUGAGACACGGUCCAA